GAUGAACGCUAGCGGCAGGCUUAAUACAUGCAAGUCGAACGGUAAGGUCUCUUCGGAGAUACACGAGUGGCGCACGGGUGCGUAACGCGUAUGCAACCUACCUUUAACUGGGAAAUAGCCCCGAGAAAUCGGGAUUAAUGUCCCAUAUUAUUCUCUGAAUGCAUAUUUGGGGAAUGAAAGCUCCGGCGGUUAUUGAUGGGCAUGCGUGACAUUAGCUAGUUGGUGAGGUAACGGCUCACCAAGGCUACGAUGUCUAGGGGUCCUGAGAGGGUUAACCCCCACACUGGUACUGAGACACGGACCAGACUCCUACGGGAGGCAGCAGUAAGGAAUAUUGGGCAAUGGACGCAAGUCUGACCCAGCCAUGCCGCGUGAAGGAUGAAUGUCCUAUGGAUUGUAAACUUCUUUUAUGCAGGAAAAAUAUCCCGGCCGUGAACCGGGACUGAUGGUACUGUAUGAAUAAGCAUCGGCUAACUCCGUGCCAGCAGCCGCCGUAACAC
rnacentral:rRNA from 1 species